AGCUGACGACGGUGUUGGUGGUGAGCACCAGCGACGACCCUGGCGUGCUGGGCGUCCUGAGGGCGGCGUUCGAGCAGGUCUGCUGCCUGCCUGGCUUCAAUGAGCUCUCGUCGAGCACGGAGGGCUUGCAGGACUCAGGAUAUUGACCCAGCAGUGUCCUGAGGCGCCGGUUCUCCACCACCACGUCUGAGGAGUAUCGUCAGGCUCUCGAUUCUGCGUGAAAUUUUCCCCUACUUUGCUGAUGCUGGUGUAGCUUGUUACUACCCACGUAUUGGCCACGCCUUUGGAAACAAAGUAAAAAUGAUUAUCGUUACAACGCAUCGAGUUGUCUUCAGUGUUGCCAGCAGUCGACGUUCUCUGAGCUUCCAUUCGAGCGUUUUUUUCAAUUCAUGAUUAAAGUUGUUUUAGCAUAGCGACCUUUUCGGUCUUCGUUAUGAUUGCUUUUGAAACAUGAAACAUUGCAAACUACUGCGGACAUGGCAAUGGUACCGGCAAUAUGGAAUAAUUAUUUUAAUUAUUUAUGUUUAGAUUUGGUAACUAUGCAAGGCUGUGAGUUGGAACCGCCCAUAACGUGUGUUAGGCGCGGCUCUGUUGAAUGAGAGGCGUUAGACCACGAGCCUCGAGGCGCGUUGCACAGAGGAAGUUAACGUGUAAAUUGUAAUCACUUAUUUUGCGCAAAGGAGUUGGUGUCAAUGUUACGUAAUUUUAAGGCAUAUUUAAUGUUAUUUGUGGAUAUUAUGGUGUGGUAUUAAGGUUAUCUCAUUAACUGCAAGCUUAUGGUCUGCCGCCGAGUUUUAACUUAUUACAUUACCAGCAGCCUCGUCGUUGGUGGCUUAGCCUUACAUCUUUAUUAUCACUUUCUUGUGCCAACUAUUGGUCACAAUCUCAGUACAAAUGGCGGUAUAAACAUGUGCAUAAUUUUAGCCGCCUGAGCAAUAAUUUAUAAGCCAUUCACUGCCAAAUUGUUGUCACAAUUUCGAAACAAUCGCCUAAUGAAAAUAUGAAUUAUUUCACUGCCAGUAAUGUAACUUGUUAAGUAUUGCCUUUAUCGCGUCACUCCUCUAGGGCAGUUAAGGGUAAGCAUCACGCCUCACGGCAGUUAAGGGUAAGCAUCACGCCUCUAGGGCAGUUAAGGGUAAGCAUCACUCCUCUAGGGCAGUUAAGGGUAAGCAUCAGAGCAGUUAAGGGUAUGCAUCACGCCUCUAGGGCAGUUAAGGGUAAGCAUCACUCCUCUAGAGCAGUUAAGGGUAAGCAUCACUCCUCUAGAGCAGUUAAGGGUAAGCAUCACUCCUCUAGAGCAGUUAAGGGUAAGCAUCACUCCUCUAGGACAGUUAAGGGUAAGCAUCACUCCUCUAGGACAGUUAAGGGUAAGCAUCACUCCUCUAGGGCAGUUAAGGGUAAGCAUCACUCCUCUAGAGCAGUUAAGGGUAAGCAUCACGCCUCCAGGACAGUUAAGGGUAAGCAUCACGCCUCUGGAGAAGUUAAGGGUAAGCAUCACGCCUCUAGAGCAGUUAAGGGUAAGCAUCACGCCUCUAGAGCAGUUAAGGGUAAGCAUCACGCCUCCAGGACAGUUAAGGGUAAGCAUCACGCCUCUAGAGCAGUUAAGGGUAAGCAUCACGCCUCCAGGGCAGUUAAGGGUAAGCAUCACGCCUCCAGGACAGUUAAGAGUAAGCAUCACUCCUCUAGAGCAGUUAAGGGUAAGCAUAAUUUCUCUUUUCAUGCAGCCAAACAUCAGACCCUCUGCCCAAUGUUUGCCGUAGCUACUAAACGAGUCCUCCUAGUCGUUUGUUUAGCUUGAAUAAUUUUUUUUGCUAUCUCAUAUGAUAUUGUUAUCACUUAUCUAUUGGAUUAUCGGAACUAUCUAUAUAUUUUGUUACAAUUUUAUAUUUAUUUACAGCAAUAAUUUAUUAUAAGCUUAUAGACCUGAAUGCGAGUUCUUAGCUCUUCUUCUUAUACAUACUUCGAAAUGCUUCAGCUUAAACGUGUCUGCGUUGGUGAGUUGCAUAGCAGUAGGUGAAUUAAGUAUUCGUUAUUUGUGAACCUUUGUUUUCGUGUCUGAAUUGUGAUCUACGUUCCCACAAUUAUUCAGCUCAGAAUGCUAACUUUCAGAAAAUAUAUUCUACGUGUAACGGUGUAUGAGUAUAUAAGAGAUCACCAAUUCACCAUAAAUACAAAUAUUCAAUGAU